ensembl:lncRNA
AAAAAGAAAAGAAAAGAGAAAAGAAAAAAAGAAAAUAGAAAUAAAAAAGAGACAGAAAAAUAUGAAAAAAAGAAAAAAGAAAAAAGAAAAGAAAAAAACAGUAGAUGAAAAAAGAAAAAACAAAAGGAAAAACGAAUAAUGACAAGAGAAGAAAGGUAAAGAGAAAAGAAGAAAAAAGCCAAGUCAAAAAAGAAAAAAAGAAAAGAAAAAAAAAUGAACAAAAAAGAGAAAAAAGAGAAAAGAUAAAAAAAGAAAAAAGAUAAAGAAAAGAGAAAAGAAAAAAAGAAAAUAGAAAUAAAAAAGAGAACAGAAAAAUAUGAAAAAAAGAAAAAGAAAAAAAGAAAAGAAAAAAAUAGAUGAAAAAAGAAAAAACAAAAGGAAAAACGAAUAAUGACAAGAGAAGAAAGGUAAAGAGAAAAGAAGAAAAAAGCCAAGUCAAAAAGUAAAGAAUAACUCGAAGGAAGGAGUGGAUGGCAAGAAAUACAGAGAAAGCAGUGCAUAGCACAGCAGAGCAAAGCAAGGCAAAAUAGCAGCCAAAGCCACGAGAAUCAAGAAGUCAGUGAAGAGCAGGAAAGGAAUGGAGGAAUCUGUCCAGAGCUGUGCCCCUGCUUGCCACAGGAGCUGCGCGGGAGGAGAAGAAC